UACGUAGGGUGCAAGCGUUGUCCGGAAUUAUUGGGCGUAAAGAGCUCGUAGGCGGUUUGUCGCGUCGAAUGUGAAAACCCGGGGCUCAACCCCGGGCCUGCAUUCGAUACGGGCAGACUAGAGUUCGGUAGGGGAGUCUGGAAUUCCUGGUGUAGCGGUGAAAUGCGCAGAUAUCAGGAGGAACACCGGUGGCGAAGGCGGGACUCUGGGCCGAUAUUGACGCUGAGGAGCGAAAGCGUGGGGAGCGAACAGG
rnacentral:rRNA from 1 species